GUUGCUUAGACAACCAGGAUGUUGGCUUAGAAGCAGCCACCAUUGAAAGAGUGCGUAAUAGCUCACUGGUCGAGUGACCCCGCGCCGAAAAUGUACCGGGGCUAAACAUAUUACCGAAACUGUGGAUGAACCUCUUUAGAGGGUCGUGGGAGGAGAGCGUUCUAAGGGCGGUGAAGUCAGACCGGAAGGACUGGUGGAGCGCUUAGAAGUGAGAAUGCCGGUAUGAGUAGCGAAAGAAGGGUGAGAAUCCCUUCCACCGAAUAUCUAAGGUUUCCUGAGGAAGGCUCGUCCGCUCAGGGUUAGUCGGGACCUAAGCCGAGGCCGAUAGGCGUAGGCGAUGGACAACAGGUAGAGAUUCCUGUACCAGUGCUAAUUGUUUAACCGAUGGGGUGACACAGAAGGAUAGGGAAUCGCACGAAUGGAAAUGUGCGUCCAAGCAGUGAGUGUGAGAAGUAGGCAAAUCCGCUUCUCGCGAAGCAUGAGCUGUGAUGGGGAAGGAAAUUAAGUACGGAAGUUCCUGAUUUCACGCUGUCAAGAAAAGCCUC
rnacentral:rRNA from 1 species